rnacentral:lncRNA from 1 species
UCUCCCUGUAAGCGAUUUUGGGAAAUGAUUGUGAAUGAUCAGUGCUCUGCAGGCACAGCGGCUCUGCCUCCGACCAGCCCUCACAUCUCCUCUUGUCCCAGACUCUCCCAGAACAGGUGCAUGGUCUUCUUGUCCUUCUCUCUCCUUCUUGGGUGCUGCAGGCCAUCCGGCAGCCUGGGAUCUGACAUCCAGCUUCCCCACUCGCAGCUGUGUGAGCUCAGAAAGGUUGCCUAACAUUUCUGAAUCCUGGUUUCCAACUUGGUAAAAUGGAGCAACGUAACUCACAGAGGGUUACAACAAUGUGGGGUAUAGUGUCUGUGCAGAACUUAGCAUGGUGACCGACCCAGGGUGGGCACUCAGGGGAAGUAGGGUGUGUGUGUGUGCGUGCGUGCGUGCAUGUGCGUGUGCGUGUGCGUGUGUGUGUGUGUCUCUCUUUUUCCCAGGGUCGGGUGAUGGAGCUGUUGGGGAGGGAGCCCUGGCAGCCUGGUCCUUGUGGAGUUUGGUUCUGCGUGGGCAGCUGUGUGAACCUUGACCGCUUCAGACCAGCUUCACUGGGGUAGCCACUUCAAAGGGCCCAUGAGGAUGCCUGC